rnacentral:tRNA from 1 species
CCUGGUGGCUCAGAUGGUAAAGCACCUGCCUGCAAUGCAAGAGACCUAGGUUCAACCCCUGGGUCAGGA